AAUGAGAAAAUAAUAACAGAAUUUUCAUUUUUGGCUGAACUAUCAGUUUAAACAUCAUAGAUGUGCAGUUCCUGAUGGAUCCUGUGGGUGUCGCUGUCUGACUGCGGUCCACAUUCACAUCAAUACUAAUGCAGCCUGAAUGCAACAAACACACACACGUGCAGAAAGUCAAAUCAAUGUGGCUGCAGGCCACAGACUUUCACACCUCACAUUACAAUUACACAAAAACACACAACAGACGGACACACAGAGAGACGUUACAAGGGCAGCGCGGGAUUUGCCACUGUUUAACUGGUUAACCUGGCUUACUCUUGUACGAGGGGGUGGGUCGGUCAACAGGCCCUCUGAGACCCGGGUGGGCUGAACCGGAGCCAGUCGGCGUCGAUGAGAUCGGGCCACGCGGGCUAUCGGAUCAACACCCGCCAAAAUGUGUGUGGGCGACAUGAAAAACAGCACACGUCCCUGGAGACAACCAGG